rnacentral:rRNA from 1 species
CUUGCUCUUUANUGNNGGCCCGNAUGAAUGGCGUGACGAGGGCUUGACUGUCUCCUUUUUCAGGUCAAUGAAAUUGAUCUCCCCGUGCAGAAGCGGGGAUAUUAACAUAAGACGAGAAGACCCUAUGGAGCUUUAGACACUAAGGCAGACCACGUUAAACAUCCCCUGUGAAAGGGUUAAACUGUAUGGCCACUGCCCUAAUGUCUUCGGUUGGGGUGACCGUGGGGGAAAACAGAGCCCCCAUGCGGAAAGGACCACCGUGUCCUGAACCAAGAGCUUCCACUCUAAUGCCCAGAAUUUCUGACUAAAAGUGAUCCGGCAACGCCGAUUAACGAACCAAGUUACCCUAGGGAUAACAGCGCAAUCCUCUUUUAGAGCUCAUAUCGACAAGAGGGUUUACGACCUCGAUGUUGGAUCAGGACAUCCUAAUGGUGCAACCACUAUUAAGGGUUCGUUUGUUCAACGAUUAAAGUCCUACGUGAUCUG